AAGAAAGAAAGAAAGAAAGAAAGAAAGAAGAGCUAGGGAGGGAGGACUGAUGAUUGAUGACUUGCCUGGCAUCAUUGUGUUUUCUUCCUCUUUUCUUUCUUCGUCUUUUUUUGGCUCCUGGCCAAUGAAUGUGUCAGACUUCUCUUUCUGUCCGUUCAUUCUUUUCUCUAUCAGCUCUCAAAUGGACAGAAUGUAACACCAAUGGAAAAGGCGGGCAAGCAAGUUUUGAGUUGAGGGGGUCGGAAGAAGAAAGAAAACACGAAAAUUCAGGAUGUGAGCCGCAACUCACUUCUUCUAAAGUUCCCAUGCAGCAAAAGGGAA
rnacentral:ribozyme from 1 species